rnacentral:lncRNA from 1 species
CUUCAGCGUGUCAUCAACCCAGCCUAGAUGUACAAAUUUAAAUGCAAAGCCCAGCAAAAGGAACAUGCCAAAGAGAUGUGAAAUGUUCAAGGAAUCGUUUAUCACGCCCACCAGUCCGAGGCCAAGCACGCCUCUGGAGUCUUAGCCCUAACACCACACUUGCUCCCCACCUGCAUUCCAGGAGAACGGGCAGGGAGACAUCAUCCCGCGACACGAAAGAAUUCCGCUUGAGUAGCUACUGUAUCUGAAACCUUGUUAGCAGGAACCUUUCCACAACAGUCCGAAACCUCUCUUUGUAGGUGUGACCUCCCCUUUGAAGCAGGAACAAAAGGAUGCUUCGGCCUAUCUUAUAUUUUUGCUGAACAACGGGAAGGUCGGGCCAACCUAAAACGGCGCUUCAGAGGUUAUGAAAUGCCACGGGAAAACGCUUAAGAGGCAACGCAACGAUUGUAUGAGCAAGAGGCAUUUUGGACAAUAAGCGUAUAUUUAUUUGCACAGGAAGUAAGAGCAUCCUGCCAUUGAUGUUCGACCUUGCUGGGGAAAGAGGGCGCCUGUAGAAAAGGCUUCUGAGGAGCAGCAGAAGGCCUCACAUGGGAAAAGACUGGGUAGCUGAAUUCAUUUUGAUCUCCGCCCAUCGGCAACACAACUUGAGGGGACAUUGAGCGACACAGAGAUCCAAUGAUAUGGCCCAGCUAUUUUCCAAGUGUUUUCACCGUUCACUGAGAAUGAACGGAGCCUGCCCCGUGAAGUGGCUGGCGCGCGCGCACACACACACACACACAGAGAGAGAGAGAGAGAGAAACACAACAGCCCCAUUACUAAAUUUCCCCUCCCUCUAGCCCACCCCUCCAAAGAAUUUGGGGAUAAAAGAUAGAAACUACAUGAAAUCCAAACUCCCACCUAAGAGUCAAGAGUAAGGGAGAUCCCACAACCUCAGCCGGCUUCCAUUUCCAGCCAAGGCUCGUUAUCCACAAGCUGGUUGGUACAACUGGAUAUGACAAGGAACUGGGAUUCGACGGGUGCGUUUAAAAAAAAAGACAAAACGCACUUCCGUGGGAAACGUUUUUGACAGGUUUAGGGGAAAUAUGUCAUUAUUACUGACAGCGGUGCUGCUGCUCAGAAUCCUUACGCACCAUUUCUAACGUUCCUUUGACUUUACGGUAAAAGCCACCGACUCCCCUGCAGGUCCUAUGGGUGGGGGAUAAUGGGUACUGUAGUCAAAAGCACUUAGAGGCCACCAGGGUGAGG